rnacentral:rRNA from 1 species
UGGGGGAUAUUGCACAAUGGGCGAAAGCCUGAUGCAGCGACGCCGCGUGGGGGAUGAAGGCCUUCGGGUUGUACACUUCUUUUGCUCUGAACAAGGCAUGCCUUUGGGGUGUGUUGAGUGUAGGGGUUGAUUAGCGCCGGCUAACUACGUGCCAGCAGCCGCGGUAAUACGUAGGGCGCGAGCGUUGUCCGGAAUUAUUGGGCGUAAAGGGCUUGUAGGUGGCUGGUUGCGUCUGUCGUGAAAGCUCAUGGCUUAACUGUGGGUUUGCGGUGGGUACGGGCUGGCGUGAGUGCAGUAGGGGAGGCUGGAAUUCCUGGUGUAGCGGUGGAAUGCGCAGAUAUCAGGAGGAAUACCGGUGGCGAAGGCGGGUCUCUGGGCUGUUACUGACGCUGAGGAGCGAAAGCGUGGGGAGCGAACAGG